rnacentral:misc_RNA from 1 species
GAAGUAAAAGUCGUAACAAAGUCUCCGUUGGUGAACCAGCGGGGGGAUCAUUACAGGACUCGCAAGACUCCUACAACCCUGUGAACUUAACUAUAAGCACGUUGCUUCGGCGGGUGUCUCGGAGGGGGUCCUCCCUCCCCGAGACGCUAAACCCGCCGGCAGCCUACUAUACUCUGUCUCUUUGCGUUGGCAUCUCGAGUACAAUCAAACAAGUUAAAACUUUCAACAACGGAUCUCUUGGUUCUG